GAUGAAGAACGCAGCCAAAUGCGAUACGUAAUGUGAAUUGCAGAAUUCAGUGAAUCAUCGAAUCUUUGAACGCACAUUGCACUCCUUGGUAUUCCGAGGAGUAUGCCUGUUUCAGUAUCAUGAGCACUCUCACAUCUAACCUUUGGGUUAAAAUGUGGAAUUGGGAUGCGCCGGUUAUUAUAACGGCCCUCCUAAAAUUCAGUUCUUGGCUGCUUCCUACUACAGCAGUUUGGCCUAAUAGUUUUGAGUCUUCGAUUCAAAUCUUUGGCUAACAUUUGCUUCAGGAUGUCAGUCUUGAUAUACAGAAAUCUCAUUCAAACUUUGAUCUGAAAUCAGGUAGGGCUACCCGCUGAACUUAAGCAUAUCAAUAAGCGGAGGA
rnacentral:misc_RNA from 1 species